GGCGCGGGGAAUGCCGCGUCAUCCUGCCUUUGGGCGGGAAGGGAACCGGGCGAACUGAACCAUCUUAGUAGCCCGAGGAAAAGAAAGAAAAUUCGAUUCCCUGAGUAGUGGCGAGCGAAAUGGGAACAGCCUAAACCCCGGCGAAUAUUCGCCGGGGGGUUGCGGGGCGGUAUUUCUCCGUUCCGAAGCCUGCCUUCGGGACGGAGGGGAAGUUACCAAUCCGGCCUCUAGCGGAAGGAUUUGGAAAGAUCCGCCAUAGAGAGUGACAGCCUUGUACGCAAAAGAGACCGGACUUCCCGUACCCACCCCAAGUACCACGGGGCACGAGAAACCCUGUGGGAAUCCGGGAGGACCACCUCCUAAGGCUAAAUACCUCUGGCAACCGAUAGCGCACCAGUACCGCGAGGGAAAGUUGAAAAGAACCCCGGACAGGGGAGUGAAAUAGAACCUGAAACCGUAUGCCUACAAGCAGUCAGAGCAGGAGACGUUUCGGUAUGCCCUUUGGGGCUCGCUGCGGCGGAGAGCCGUGGCGGAAGCGCCUCUUGUGAUGGCGUGCAUUUGGGAUAAUGAGCCGGCGAGUUACUGUUGAUGGCGAGGUUAAGUGCUUUUAAGGCACGGAGCCGAAGCGAAAGCGAGUCUGAAUAGGGCGAAUUAGUCACCGGCAGUAGACCCGAAACCGGGCGAGCUACCCAUGGACAGGGUGAAACAGGGGUAAUGCCCUGCGGAGGCCCGAACCCGUUGGCGGGGGCCAUGGGAUGAUCUGUGGGUAGUGGUGAAAUGCCUUUCAAGCCCGGAUAUAGCUGGUUCUCCGCGAAAUGCAUUUAGGUGCAGCCUCGGAGGUUUCGCUGCGGCGGUAGAGCUACCGGUUGGUGUAGGCCCAAUACCUUGGGUUCAAAGCCUCCCGAACUCCGAAUGCCGCAGUUGUAAUCCGGGAGUGAGACUAUGGGAGUUGAUUCCAUAGUCAAGAGGGGAACAACCCAGAUCACCAGCUAAGGUCCCCAAGCACGGGCUAAGUGUAAUUUAAAGGAUGUGGGCCCGCUAAGACGGCCGGGACGUAGGUCUAAUAGUGGCCAUCGUCUAAGGAGUGAGAGUAGAACCUCACCGGCAGAGCAGGUCUGCGCCUAAAAUUUAUCGGGGCUAAAGUCCGUCACCGAAGCUGUGGGGCAACGGCCGGUCUUUCCGGCGGUUGCCGGUAGCGGAGCAUUCUUAGCGGGCAGAAGCCUGGGCGUGAGCCUUGGUGGACUGCUAAGAAGAGAGAAUGCCGGCACGAGUAGCAGAAAUCUUGGUGAGAAUCCAAGACGCCGAAAACCCAAGGUCUCCUAAGCAAUGUUCGUCAACUUAGGGUUAGCCGAUCCUAAGCCGAGGCCGAAAGGCGUAGGUGAUGGAUAGUCCGGUAAACAUUCCGGCGCCACCCCGGUUUUGCCUUCAAGGGGACGCACGAGUGUCUUGUUGGGGCGCUAUUGGAUGUGCACCCGGCGGGAUAGCAGUGCCUAGAAAAGCCUUGAAGGGCCGCCCGGGGUGAUCGUACCGCAAACCGAUACAGGUGGGUGAGGAGAGAAUCCUCAGGCGUUCGGGAGGACCCUUGUUAAGGAACUUGGCAAACUGACCCCGUAACUUAGGGAUAAGGGGUGCCCGGUGCGGGCAACCGCAUACGGGUCGCAGAGAAUAGGUCCGGGCGACUGUUUAUAAAAAACACAGGUCCCUGCUAAGGAGAAAUCCCACGUAUAGGGGCUGACGCCUGCCCAGUGCCGGAAUACUAAGGGAUGCUGUUGCCAGGGCGGCGGCAGACCGAACAACCGGUAAACGGCGGUUCGCAGCUCUAAAAAGGGUGCGGACCCAAAGGUAGCGAAAUUCCUUGGCGGAUAAAUUCCGCCUUGCCGAACGGCGUAACGACCUGGACGCUGUCUCAACAAGGGACCCGGUGAAACUGAAUUGUCUGUGAAUAUGCAGGCUACCCGCGGCAGGACGGAAACUCCCCGGGAGCUUUACUGCAGCCAGCUAUUCUGUACACGCUCUCCGUGUUUAGUAUAGGUGGGAGCUUUCUAAACAUUAUGUAUAGCGCCGGUGAAAUACCACUCUCGGUUCGGCGUGUACAGUAACCCGGAAGCCCUAGCAGGCAGGGGACAGUGGCCGGUAGGCAGUUUUGCUUGGUCGGCACCCUCCUAAAAGGUAACGGAGGGGUCCAAAGGUCUCCUCAGCACGGUUGGCAACCGUGUGUUGAGCAUAAAGGUAUAAGGAGGCCUGACUGGUAGAGCGGCAGCUCAAGCAGGGACGAAAGUCGGGCUUAAUGACGCGGUGUUUGCAUGUGGACGCGGCACCGCUUCAACGGAUAAAAGUUCCCCGGGAAUACAGGGCCAAUCUCCCCUGAGAGGCCAUAUUGGCGGGGAGGUUUGGUGCCUCGUUGCCGGCUCAUCGCAUCCUGGGGCUGAAGCUGGUCCCAAGGGUUGGGUUAGUAGCCCAUUAAAGCGGUUUGUUAGCUGGAUGAAGAACAUCGUAAGAUAGUUCAUAGCCUAUCCGCCGUGGGCGCAGGAGACUUGAGAGGGGCUGCCCCUAUUACGAGAGGACCGGGGCGGGCCGGCCUAUGGCGUACCGGUUGUUCCGCCAGGAGCAUAGCCGGGUAACUACGCCGGUAAGCGAUAAGCGCUGAAUGCAUAUAAGCGCGAAACGCGCCUCAAGAUAAGGUUUCCCUAUCAGGCUCCGGGUAGACUACCCGGUUGAUAGGCCGGAGGUGUAAGGACUGAAAGGUCUUUAGCUUACCGGUACUAAAUGUCCGAGAGAGUAUACA
rnacentral:rRNA from 1 species